UACUUCAGACUACGUGCCAUUCGACCUAAACACCUUUUUUUGUGACCAUUAUUAGUCUCACCAAAUGUAUAUCGAUCUCAUAGCGCCAUGUCAUCAACGAUUACUAUUCAAGAAGAGCCUUCUUUGAAAACGAGAAUUACGUUGCCCAGCACUGUGGAUUUGCACGCUUUCUACGCCGGACGACUUACCAAGAUAUCUCCUUACUUCAUCGAAUAGUCGAUGGAUCAACUCAUCGGAGAGACCAUGAUUUGGUUAGCUUGACGAAUCCAAACUUCUUGAAGACAUCUACCUGGCCCUGGGCGCACUUGAACCGUUUUUCAGUGUCUCCUUCGGCAAAGUCGGCCCAGUCAAUUGUAGGGAUCUUCGGGGGGUCACUAAGCGCUGUCAUCAUUGGGGUGUCGUGACCAUGAUGCUGCUGUCAUAAGCAAAACAGAUCCAGUGACAAACAUAGCCGUGGAAAAAAAAAGAAUAUUAUGAAGCACAUUGCAACUGUCUAAUUAUGGAAAAAAUCCCAUGACCGAAUCGACAGAGGCCUGUGGAAGGUCGGAGUACCCUACUUAUGUCUCAGUCUCAUUCCAAACCUUGUUUGUGUCAUUUCUGUUAAGGAAAUCACGCCAGAGAUAACUACACCUCCGAGCCCAGCCCCUAUUUUAGAGAAGAGGGGGAGGGGGAGAAGAUAUAGUUUCUAU
rnacentral:lncRNA from 1 species